rnacentral:rRNA from 1 species
GACGAACCGUGCGAACGUUAUUCGGAAUCACUGGGCUUAAAGCGCGUGUAGGCGGGACGGCACGUCGGUCGCUGAAAUCCCCCGGCUCAACCGGGGAACGGGCGCCGAUACGACCGUCCUGGAGGGACGUAGGGGGACCUGGAACUUCCGGUGGAGCGGUGAAAUGCGUUGAGAUCGGAAGGAACGCCCGUGGCGAAAGCGAGGUCCUGGACGUUUUUCUGACGCUGAGACGCGAAAAGCCAGGGGAGCGAACGGGG